rnacentral:rRNA from 1 species
UGGCGGCAGUAGCGCGGUGGUCCCACCUGACCCCAUGCCGAACUCAGAAGUGAAACGCCGUAGCGCCGAUGGUAGUGUGGGGUCUCCCC